rnacentral:rRNA from 1 species
UUUAGAGGAAGUAAAAGUCGUAACAAGGUCUCCGUUGGUGAACCAGCGGAGGGAUCAUUACCGAGUUAUACAACUCAUCAACCCUGUGAACAUACCUAAAACGUUGCUUCGGCGGGAACAGACGGCCCUGUAACAACGGGCCGCCCCCGCCAGAGGACCCCUAACUCUGUUUUUAUAAUGUUUUUCUGAGUAAACAAGCAAAUAAAUUAAAACUUUCAACAACGGAUCUCUUGGCUCUGGCAUCGAUGAAGAACGCAGCGAAAUGCGAUAAGUAAUGUGAAUUGCAGAAUUCAGUGAAUCAUCGAAUCUUUGAACGCACAUUGCGCCCGCCAGUAUUCUGGCGGGCAUGCCUGUUCGAGCGUCAUUACAACCCUCAGGCCCCCGGGCCUGGCGUUGGGGAUCGGCGGAAGCCCCCUGUGGGCACACGCCGUCCCUCAAAUACAGUGGCGGUCCCGCCGCAGCUUCCAUUGCGUAGUAGCUAACACCUCGCAACUGGAGAGCGGCGCGGCCAUGCCGUAAAACACCCAACUUCUGAAUGUUGACCUCGAAUCAGGUCG